GAUGAACGCUGGCGGCGUGCUUAACACAUGCAAGUCGAACGAUGAAAGCGGGAGCUUGCUCCUGCUGGAUUAGUGGCGAACGGGUGAGUAACACGUGAGCAAUCUGCCCCGAACUCUGGGAUAAGCGUUGGAAACGACGUCUAAUACCGGAUACGACGCGCGAAGGCAUCUUCUGCGCGUGGAAAGAACUUCGGUUCGGGAUGAGCUCGCGGCCUAUCAGCUAGUUGGUGAGGUAACGGCCCACCAAGGCGACGACGGGUAGCCGGCCUGGGAGGGUGACCGGCCGCACUGGGACUGGGACACGGCCCAGACUCCUGCGGGAGGAAGCAGUGGUGAAUAUUGCACAAUGGGCGCAAGCCUGAUGCAGCAACGCCGCGUGAGGGACGACGGCCUUCGGGUUGUAAACCUCUUUUAGUAGGGAAGAAGCGAAAGUGACGGUACCUGCAGAAAAAGCACCGGCUAACUACGUGCCAGCAGCCGCCGUAACAC
rnacentral:rRNA from 1 species